GACGAACGCUGGCGGCGUGCCUAAUACAUGCAAGUCGAACGAAGUUGUUUUAACUGGUGCUUGCACCGACUUAAACAACUGAGUGGCGAACGGGUGAGUAACACGUGGGUAACCUGCCCCAAAGCGGGGGAUAACAUUUGGAAACAGAUGCUAAUACCAAAUAAGAACUGAGACCGCAUGGUUAAAGUUUAAAAGACGGCGCAAGCUGUCGCUAAAGGAUGGACCUGCGAUGCAUUAG
rnacentral:rRNA from 1 species